rnacentral:rRNA from 1 species
UACAGAGGGGGCAAGCGUUAUUCGGAAUUAUUGGGCGUAAAGGGCGCGUAGGCGGCCUGGCAAGUGGAAGGUGAAAUCCCUCGGCUUAACCGAGGAACUGCCUCCCAAACUGCUUGGCUUGAGACCGGGAGAGGUGAGUGGAAUUCCCAGUGUAGCGGUGAAAUGCGUAGAUAUCUGGAGGAAUACCGGUGGCGAAGGCGGCAUCCUGGACCGGCAUUGACGCUGAGUGAGCGAAAGCCAGGGGAGCAAACGGG